UACGAAGGGGGCUAGCGUUGCUCGGAAUCACUGGGCGUAAAGGGUGCGUAGGCGGGUCUUUAAGUCAGGAGUGAAAUCCUGGAGCUCAACUCCAGAACUGCCUUUGAUACUGGCGAUCUUGAGUUCGGGAGAGGUGAGUGGAACUGCGAGUGUAGAGGUGAAAAUUCGUAGAUAUUCGCAAGAACACCAGUGGCGAAGGCGGCUCACUGGCCCGAUACUGACGCUGAGGUGCGAAAGCGUGGGGAGCAAACAGG
rnacentral:rRNA from 1 species